rnacentral:rRNA from 1 species
CAGUUCGGAUUGCAGGCUGCAACCCGCCUGUAUGAAGUUGGAAUCGCUAGUAAUCGCGGAUCAGCAUGCCGCGGUGAAUACGUUCCCGGGCCUUGUACACACCGCCCGUCACACCAUGAGAGUCGGGAACACCCGAAGUCCGUAGCCUAACCGCAAGGGGGGCGCGGCCGAAGGUGGGUUCGAUAAUUGGGGUGAAGUCGUAACAAGGUACC